AAUUAAUAAAAUUGUUUUAUUUAAAUUUUAUUUGAUUAUUAUUAAUUAAAUAAAUAUGAGUUAAUGUAGAAUGAAUUGAUUAAAUUAUUUUUACUAUAGUGAAUUAGUACUGUGAGGGAAAUUUUUAAUUAUUUAUUAUAAUUAAUAAAAGGUGAUUUUAUUUAUUGUAUCUUGUGUAUCAGAGUAUAUUUAAAUGAAUUAUAAAUUUUUUUUUCUCGAAUUUAAAAGAUUUAAUUAAAGAUUUUGGUUAUUGUUUCAAAAAUAUUAAUAAUUUUUAGUUGGUAAUGAAAUGUUAUUCGUUUUUAAGGAUAUCUAGUUUUUUAAUAAAUGAAUUUAAUUCAGAAAAUAUAAUUUAUUAAAUAAUUUAUUAUUUGAAUAUUUUAUAUUUUUAAUUUUAAAAGGGAUUAACUUUUUAAAAAAUAAUUAUAAUAUUAAAGUUGGUUAGGAUUUUAUAAAUUUAGAAUUUGUUAAUGAUUAAAGGAUGUUAAAAUUUAAUUCUUUAUUUUAUUAAUUUUUAAUUGUUAUUUAAUUUUUAUAUUAAAAUAUUAGAUUUAAUUUAAAAAUUUUGGAAAAUAUGAUUUAAUUAGUAAAGUUUAAAAUUUAUUUUUGUUUAAUUGAUUGUAUUGUUAAUAUAAAGAAUUAGGCAAAAAUUUUGCUCGCCUGUUUAUUAAAAACAUGGUUUCUUGAUAUUAUUUAGGAAAUCUGACCUGCCCACUGAAUAAGUUUUGAAGGGCCGCAGUAUUUUGACUGUGCAAAGGUAGCAUAAUCAUUAGUCUUUUAAUUGAAGGCUGGUAUGAAUGGUUGGAUGAGGUGAAUUCUGUUUUAUUUUAAUUUGAAUUGAAUUUAGAUUUUGAGUAAAAAGACUUAAAUGUUAUUAAGGGACGAGAAGACCCUAUAGAGUUUAAUAAAUGUAUUAAUUAAUUAGGUUAUAGAAAUCAAUUUUUGGUUAUUAUGAAGUUUAUUUAAUUGGGGUGAUUAGAGGAUAAAAUUAACUCUUCUUUAUACUUAAUUAUAUAAUAAGUUAAAUGAUCCAUAUUUAAUGAUUAAAAGAUUAAAUUACCUUAGGGAUAACAGCAUAAUUUUUUUUGAGAGUUCAUAUCGAAAAAGAAGAUUGUGACCUCGAUGUUGGAUUAAGAUUAGUUUUGGGUGCAGAUGUUCAAUAACUAGGUCUGUUCGACCUUGGAAAUCUUACAUGAUCUGAGUUUAAACCGGCGUGAGCCAGGUUGGUUUCUAUCUUUUAUUAAUUUAAAUAUUUUAGUACGAGAGGACCAAAUAUUUAAAAUAAUUUUUGUUUGGAAGAAUAUUAUUAAUUAA
rnacentral:rRNA from 1 species